rnacentral:rRNA from 1 species
CUGGGAUGGCUGGAGGCACCCUGAUCAGCCAUGCCGCGUGAGUGAAGAAGGCCUUCGGGUUGUAAAGCUCUUUCGGCCGGGAAGAAAUCGUGCGGGCUAAUACCCUGUAUGGAUGACGGUACCGGAAUAAGAAGCACCGGCUAACUACGUGCCAGCAGCCGCGGUAAU